GACUCCACGUCUGUGCAGCAGCCGCGGUAAACACCGGCAGCCCAAAAGUGGUAGCCAACGAUUUAUUUGGGGUCUAAAAGCGUCCCGAUAGGCCGGCUGAAGUUAAGUUCCUUAGGGAAAAUUUUAACCGCUCAACGGUUAAGCUUUCAGGGAAUACUGCUUGGCUUGGGACCGGGAGAGGUCAGAGGUACUUCAAGGGUAGGGGUGAAAUCCGUUGAAUCCUUGAGGGACCACCAGUAGCGAAGGCGUCUGACCAGACCGGGUCCGACGGUGAGGGACGAAGGCUAGGGUCGCGAACCGGAUUAGAUACCCGGGUAGUCCUAGCUGUAAACGAUGCGGGCCAGGUGUUGGCAUUACUGCGAGUGAUGUCAGUGCCAAAGGGAAGCCGUUAAGCCCGCCAUCUGGGGAGUACGGUCGCAAGGCUGAAACUUAAAGAAAUUGGCGGGGGAGCACCACAACGGGUGGAGCCUGCGGUUCAAUCGGAUUCAACGCCGGAAAACUCACCGGAGGCGACAGCGAGAUGAAGGUCAGGCUGAAGACCUUACCGGAUUAGCUGAGAGGUGGCGCAUGGCCGUCGGCAGUUCGUGUCGUGAAGCAUCCUGUUAAGUCAGGCAACGGGCGAGACCCGCGCUCACAGUUGCCAGCAUGUUCUUCGGAACGAUGGGCACUCUGUGAGGACUGCCACCGCUAAGGUGGAGGAAGAAGCGGGCCACGGUAGGUCAGUACGCCCCGAAUCUUCCGGGCUACACGCGUGCUACAAUGGGCAGUACAAUGGGUAUCAACCCCGAAAGGGGAAGGUAAUCUCCUAAAACUGUCCUCAGUUGGGAUCGAGGGCUGCAACUCGCCCUCGUGAACCAGGAAUCCGUAGUAAUCGCCUCUCAAAAUGAGGCGGUGAAUAUGUCCCUGCUCC
rnacentral:rRNA from 1 species